rnacentral:rRNA from 1 species
UACGAAGGGGGCUAGCGUUGCUCGGAAUCACUGGGCGUAAAGCGCACGUAGGCGGAUCUUUAAGUCAGGGGUGAAAUCCUGGAGCUCAACUCCAGAACUGCCUUUGAUACUGGGGAUCUCGAGUCCGGAAGAGGUGAGUGGAACUCCGAGUGUAGAGGUGAAAUUCGUAGAUAUUCGGAAGAACACCGAGUGGCGAAGGCGGCUCACUGGUCCGGUAUUGACG